rnacentral:rRNA from 1 species
UACGUAGGGAGCAAGCGUUGUCCGGAAUCAUUGGGCGUAAAGCGCGCGUAGGCGGGUUGGUAAGUCCGCUGUGAAAGCCCGGAGCUCAACUCCGGAGGGUCGGUGGAUACUGCCAGUCUUGAAGGUGCUAGGGGGAGAUGGAAUUACCGGUGUAGCGGUGAAAUGCGUAGAUAUCGGUAGGAACACCAGUGGCGAAGGCGGUCUCCUGGGGCAUUCUUGACGCUGAGGCGCGAAAGCUGGGGGAGCGAACGGG